UUAAGUUCAGCGGGUAGUCCUACCUGAUUUGAGGUCAAAUGGUCAAGUGUUGUCCUUGCGGACGGUUAGAAGCUGGAAGGCUUAUACACGCUAACGACCUGAAAGGCGUAGAUAAUUAUCACACCAAUAGGCUGAAGGCGCAAACCCAGCUAAUACAUUUCAGAGGAGCCGACUUGUAAAAGCCCGCAACCCCCACAUCC
rnacentral:misc_RNA from 1 species